GACGAACGCUGGCGGCGUGCUUAACACAUGCAAGUCGAACGAAGAGCGAUGGAAGCUUGCUUCUAUCAAUCUUAGUGGCGAACGGGUGAGUAACGCGUAAUCAACCUGCCCUUCAGAGGGGGACAACAGUUGGAAACGACUGCUAAUACCGCAUACGAUCUAACCUCGGCAUCGAGGAUGGAUGAAAGGUGGCCUCUAUUUAUAAGCUAUCACUGCAGGAGGGGAUUGCGUCUGAUUAGCUAGUUGGAGGGGUAACGGCCCACCAAGGCGAUGAUCAGUAGCCGGUCUGAGAGGAUGAACGGCCACAUUGGGACUGAGACACGGCCCAGACCCCUACGGGAGGCAGCAGUGGGGAAUCUUCCGCAAUGGACGAAAGUCUGACGGAGCAACGCCGCGUGAGUGAUGACGGCCUUCGGGUUGUAAAGCUCUGUUAAUCGGGACGAAAGGCCUUCUUGCGAAUAGUUAGAAGGAUUGACGGUACCGGAAUAGAAAGCCACGGCUAACUACGUG
rnacentral:rRNA from 1 species